GACGAACGCUGGCGGCGUGCUUAACACAUGCAAGUCGAACGGAAAGGCCCUGCUUGCGGGGUACUCGAGUGGAGAACGGGUGAGUAACACGUGUGUGAUCUGCCCUGCACUUCGGGAUAGGCCUGGGAAACUGGGUCUAAUUCCGGAUAGGAGCCUGCUUUAGUGUGGUGGUUGGAAAGUUUUUUCGGUGUAGGAUGGGCUCGCGGCCUAUCAGCUUGUUGGUGGGGUAGUGGCCUACCAAGGCGGCGACGGGUAGCCGGCCUGAGAGGGUGGACGGCCACAUUGGGACUGAGAUACGGCCCAGACUCCUACGGGAGGCAGCAGUGGGGAAUAUUGCACAAUGGGCGCAAGCCUGAUGCAGCGACGCCGCGGGGGGGAUGACGGCCUUCGGGUUGUAAACCGCUUUCGCUAGGGACGAAGCUUUUUGUGACGGUACCUAGAGAAGAAGCACCGGCUAACUACGUG
rnacentral:rRNA from 1 species